rnacentral:pre_miRNA from 7 species
AAGCCUAUCAUGACAACUGGCCUGAGGAGCAGGGCUUAGCUGCUUGUGAGCAAGGUCCACAGCAAAGUCGUGUUCACAGUGGCUAAGUUCCGCCCCCUGGACCCCAUCUCCUCAGGCCGCUGC